rnacentral:misc_RNA from 1 species
UCGUGAUUUUAUUUCAUUAUAAACACUUUUAGUCAUAGACAAAGAGCCCGAGUUGUCAUGAAUUAACAUAUUUCAAAUCGGAAACUGACAAAAUCAGAGGAAGAAGGGGACAAAAUACGACAAAAUUAGAUAUAACAUAACACCAACAUUGUAUAGAAUAUGCUGAAAUCUAGUGGACAAAAACAAGACGUUGUUUCACGAUGGAUUUUCACAAUAAUUAUGAUAAACCUGCUGGUAGUAAUAGAAGCGGCUAUUGUACAAGACACCGACGAAGUGACCACAACUACUUCCAAAAUGGAGGAUGAAAUUACAAAACGUACUACAACUCAAUUUGCAACAGUCGCCAAUGGGGAAUCCUCGAACCAGAUAGAAACAUUCAUAUUCGCAGGCGCCUGUUUCUUGGGAGGUCUCAUUCUUACAGCACUUCUAGCGCUGUUGAUUUAUAUGAGAAACAAGAGAAACCGUCUCGUAAAGAAGAUAAUCGGGAAGAAAAUUGAACACAAUUCAAUCGAUAUUGCAAACCCUUAUCUCGGAGUGACAGAUCUAAGGAAACCAAGUAUUAACACUCCAGACACCGUUGUUUCAAUACCUCAAAAUAACAGGGAGACUAUUACAAAACAGGUAAUCCUAAAUUCAGACAAUGAGACAAAACUUCCUGAUGUGAUACAACCCGAAACUAGGAAGUCCCUAGAGCAUGGUAUCAUAACCACAUCAACCAGGAAGGUCAUAGCAGCCCCGGUUUUAAUACUGGAGGACGAAUACCAACAAGGAAGUAAGCGAUCUCGAUCUAUAAUAAACCAAUUCACUGGUUAUGUUGGAAACAGGGGUGGUGAAAUUAAAAGUGAUGAAUCAGACGUUUCAGUCUAUGUUCCCAAAGGAGCGAUACCUGUAGGUAAACAAUGCAAAAUAAAGGUAUCAGUUUCGCUUGAUUUUACAACAUACGCUGGAAAACUGUUCAAGGAAUACCAAAAUGACAUUUGGCUGACACCUCUAGUUGAGUGCACAAUUGAAGGAGUUGAGAAGACAACUAGUCCGAUUACUAUUAGGGUACCCCAUCGUGUAAACAUCGCAGGUAGCUCAAAAUGGAACAUGAAGCUUCAUUAUUCAAGUGGUGAACUCUCGGAAUCAGCAUCAUGGUGCGCGAUGUCAAACAGCACCAAACACAUAUACACUGGCGUCAACUUUAACCACAAUGGGCACUACUUCAACGUUAUGACCACCAACUCUGGGAGUUACCUGGCUACAGGCCACGGGAAGAAGAAUAUCACCCCAUUGAAGCUAUGUACCUUGGUAUAUGGAAGCAUAAAGAAAAGUGGACCGCUACAGGCUAACUUUCGCGUAUACGUCUGUGACGUCAUCAAAGAUUCACUGAAGAGAAUAAGUCUGGCCGAGAAAGAAAAGUACAGUAAACUACUAAGCAGCCAAAUGCCUCUGAAUAUGAAAUCUGGAAAAGAUUUUGAAAUCUCUCUGUUGACUAAAGACGACUCUAACUGGCCAUGGAAAUUAGCAAAUGGUCUUCCUAAAAAAACAUUCCCACUCCAAUUCUGCUACAAGGCAUCAACAGCACUACCAUACGUGGAGUUUGUAUGCGCACCCAAAGUGAGCAACAGUGAUCUCCUUGAUGUGCAGACGACAUUCAGGGUCUCUCAGAAGUCAUCAGGUCAAGAUGACAACAACCCUACAAGUAUUAAAGUAGCAUUGAAAAUAAAGAAGUUACAAACCAACAACUCACCAUUAGAUAAAGUCCCCACAGCUGAUGAACAAUGGACAAUAAUUACAACUCUCCACACACAGAACGUAAACACCUCAGAACUCUGUAGGGCUCUGGGUCUUUCUUCAGCUAGUAUAGAAGACAUCCAGAGCUGCGUUACAGAUAUGGGACGCACUAAACGUGCCAUUGAGACAUGGAGAAUAGUAUAUGGACACAGAGCAACAAUUGCUAAGUUAUGUGCUAGUUUAGAAAAUGCUGAGUUUUACGCAUUGGCUGACCUGAUUCAACAGAAAUUCACGUUUGUUGAUGUACCUUUGUAAAUGUAUGACAUGAGGUUCAUUCCAACAUUCUCAAAGUGCCAUACACCAACAUACAAUCCGAUACAAUGAUAUAUAUUUGUUUCUAGUAUAUAAUAUAAACUACAACAUAAAUAUCUGACUUUUUAGAAAAUGUUUAAAAUAUUAACCAGGGUUUUACUGAUGCCUAUUUUGCCAAUGUUUCUAUAAAGGUGCUUCAAGAACAAUUGCAGUAACUGUGACGUGCUCCGAUUUCCAUAUCUUCAAUGGAAUCAUUAUAUUUAUUGAACGUGUAUGUUAAACAUACUUAUGUCACUGUCUUGUGGUAUAGACUACUAGGAUGCCAUUUAUCAUGAUAGGUGAUUAUCCUUAACAAGGGAAUUCUAGAUAGUAACAUAACCUCCAAGUCCAAAUACUAAUUGAAUGGACUAAGUACAGUAUUAGCGCAACUUCAUUCAUACAGUCAAUCAUUAAAAAAUGACAUAUGCCCACAGCGUUGUUCAUGUUGAAUGUAUGUAUCAUAUGGCUGAUAUAUAAUAUGGCUACUUCAAAGCCAUAUAUUGCCGAGCUUUCGUUUUGAAGUGGCUAAUUCUAACUUGAUCCAAAUACUUUCACCAUUGAUGGAUUUUGAUACAGACUAUCUCGUCUAUAAAUAUCAAAGCUAAAGAAUACUUAUCCCGUAAAUUCCAAAAUCUAUGAGUUAUAUGAAUCAAAGUCGAUAUAUACAGAAAACUUAUGGUAUCAGUGCAAAUUAGGAUCAAAAGCAAUUAAGCCAGAUAAAGAAGCUUUAUAAUACUGUAACCAUGGUAAUUUUGCCACUAUUUUAUGAGCCAUUUUCGAAGAUUUCACUGUUGUUUAUUUUGGUUGAUUUGUAAUCCUUAUAAAACAGUCAGCAAAAUGACCAUGGCUAUAUUGUGGGAUGUCAGCAUAAUCACAUAUUUUAGCAUUUUGCAUUACAAAAGGUUUUUAAAGCAGCGAGCCAAUGUAAAUGGUCAAUUAGUAU